rnacentral:rRNA from 1 species
UACGAAGGGGGCGAGCGUUGUUCGGAAUUACUGGGCGUAAAGGGCGCGCAGGCGGCCUUAGAAGUCAGAUGUGAAAGCCCCGGGCUCAACCUGGGAAUGGCAUUUGAUACUCUGAGGCUGGAGUACGGGAGAGGAGAGUGGAAUUCCCAGUGUAGAGGUGAAAUUCGUAGAUAUUGGGAAGAACACCGGUGGCGAAGGCGGCUCUCUGGACCGUAACUGACGCUGAUGCACGAAAGCUGGGGGAGCAAACAGG